rnacentral:rRNA from 1 species
CAGCAGCCGCCGCGGUAAUACGUAGGGGGCGAGCGUUGUCCGAAGUUACUGGGCGUAAAGCGCGCGUAGGCGGCUUCUUAAGUCUGAGGUGAAAGGUUCAACGCUUAACGUGAACAGUGCCUUGGAUACUGGGGAGCUUGAGUAUGGGAGAGGGCAGUGGAAUGGCUGGUGUAGCGGUGAAAUGCGUAGAUAUCAGUCAGAACACCCAUGGCGAAGGCAGCUGCCUGGCCUAAUACUGACGCUGAGGUGCGAAAGCGUGGGGAGCGAACGGGAUUAGAUACCCGCGUAGUCCCUGUCUCUUAUA